GGGAAAGGAGUGAUAAAAACAAAGAUGAAGGCCAAAUGGGUAAACAAGCAUCCUUGGAAGAUAUAUGCAAGCUAGAUGUAGAUGGAAAAGUUAUUUAUUGUGAAAAUAUUUGAAAAUAUAUAGAGGUGUUGUAGAAAUUUAAGGACUAGAUAAGCUAAUUUUGAGGCUUGCUUAGGAAUGCAUCAAUAGGUUUAAGAUUAAUUCUAAUUGGAUUAGGAA
rnacentral:lncRNA from 1 species